rnacentral:tRNA from 1 species
GCCUCAGUGGCCAAGUGGUAAGGCGUCGGUCUCGUAAACCGAAGAUCAUGGAUUCAACCCCCAUCUGAGGAA